GUCAACCUUCCUCAGCCCCCUCACAUUUCUUAUCUUCCCCAUUCUUCUCUUCCUACCUCCUCCUCUGUUGACUCACGCUAGAUCCCCCAUCCACAGCCGGCACUCUCUGGUGGCCGCCCCUCCCCUUCGUCACCAUUGUCGGCGGACACGCAGGCCCAUGCUCUUCCCCGCCCCGCCCCUUCUUCACAUCCUAUUCCCGAAGUGCUCGAGGAGGCGCUCGAGCUCGGCAUGCUCGCCGGCGACACCGGAGCCCUCCCUCCUCCUGAUGCACUCUCCGUCGCCGCCAUGAGCGUCUCUACCUUCUCCCGCGCGCCAUGAAUCCUCCCUCCCCCCUACUCGAGACGCCAUCAAGUCUGGAGCAGGAGCAGCUGCUACUCCCGACCUCCGAUUCCUUCUUUCCAUGGAUGACCACGAAGACCUCCGCAUGAUGUGCUGCUGCUCGGGGCCCUCCCUAUGCUUCUCCUCGCUCGUAAGGGUCCAGGGUUAGCUGCUCAGGGGCCAUGGUGUGUUCCGUGUGGCGCUGCCUUCGCGGCCGCCGCCGUUCCCUUGUUGUGUCUCUGAGACUGGAGGUCCCUGCUCGCCAACUCACAGACGGUUGUUCUCCGACCAGUUAAAAAAGAGUAAGCUUUCUUCCAAGCCUAUGAUUUUCCUUUCAUCCUCUUAGUUGGUGCCUUUGUUGAUGAUGCAGCCCUGAAUGGUUCAGAUUUUCUGAAGGAGGAGGUGCCGAAAGGGGAUGGGAGCAACAAGUCUGAAUCGAAGAGAACUGAUGGCAUGUCCUGCCAUGAAGAAUUUGAAGCGGUCAGAAGACAUAAGAGCCCGGUCCUAUCCUAUGUUAAGGCCAUGCUGAUGUGUAAGAGUUUGCGGGUGACAUCCUCCAUGGCAAUCAUAUUCCCUCCAACAUCCUUCAGGCCAUGGCGACCAGGUCAAAGAAGUCGAACCUGAAGAAGUGCAGGGAAGAAUUAUAGUUGCGUGUGGCUGGCUGGUUCAGGGGAAUUUCAGGGUGGCGCGGGUGCCGGAGCAGGCUCCUAGGCACUGGCGAUCUGUCGGACGGAUAUUAGAAACGAAGGUGAAGGAGGAGCGGCCGCCCACUCGACGUUGCGAUGUAGGGCGGCGAGGGAGCCCGGCAGGGAGGCCUCAAUGCGCUGCAGGACGUCGAGGGAACCGUCCAGCGAGGCGACGAUGCGAUGCAGGGAUCGAGGCCGCCGUGCAUGGAGGCGACAGGGCGCGACAGGGCUGCUGAGCUUCGUCUGGAGCGGUGGCGAGGAAAGGCAGGGAGAGGGGCCAGGGACACGAUUAGGUUCGGCUUCCUUUUUUUGUGAGUUGGUUAGAUGGUUAGAUUAGCGUGAUUUGAGGGGCUGCGGAUGCGGGACGGAGAGUCUCAUAUUUUCAUCUGGUGGAGUACGGUCAGUCUAUUGAAACUACUAAGCGCACACCAGAUCUUGAAUAAAUUAAUGAUGGCUGUUAGAUUGGGUUGUGUGGGCUUCA